UAGGAUGAUUGUAUCGCUUUUUCAGGUCAUGUAAUUUAUGAAAUGCGUAUUUUUUUAUACUUCUUUUUUUUUCAAUGAAUUUUAUUAUAUUUGUAGUUGUACAACCAUCAUCACAACCUAACUUUAGAACAUCUGACAUUGCCCAAGCUGCCACUAGGAUUUGAUUCCUGGCCCCGCGGAACUUCUGUAUGCUGCCAUUGUAGCCAAAAAAGGAAAAAAAAAUUAUAGAAAGAGCUGUGAUUAUCAAAGUGGGAAUUUAACAUUAGUACUCUCUAUAUACUAUUACUAUAAUGCCUUGUUUAGAAGUGUAACAGUAUUAGAUGAUAUUCUAUUUUAUGAUUUGUAACAUAAUCAAAAGAAAACAUUGUAGAGAAACUGGAUCUUAAGUUUAAUGGAAUCUACUAACAGUUCCAUAUCCAAUUAAAUUCAAAUGAACAAUUCGAAAUAUAAUCCUAGUGUUAUGAAAAGUUGGUCAAAGGAUAUUGUGUUUUCUAAAUACAAAAAUUAUUUCUUUGGUUCAUAUUGUUGUCUCCUUUGUCUUUCUUGAAUGUGUUCAUUGAGUUAAUAGACUUAUCUUCUAAGUGCGUACAUGUUUAGAUGUUGUUAGUGUUUUAAUUUUACCCUUUUAAAAGCUUUAUAUUUUAAAAAAUUUUUAUUUUAUUUUUUUUGGCUUAAUUCUUACUGACAUCCUAAAUCUUGACUUCUUUUUGGAAGUUCUAGUUUUUUCAACAGUUUAUUAAGUCAGCAACUUUAUUUAUUUGAUAAUUUAUUUUAAUAGAAUUUGAAUUCCUAGGCAAAGUUUUAGCCUUAAAUCACAAAACAACUUUACUCCAGUUAGAAUCUUUUCCUUUAUUGAGUAUAAGAAUUAAAGUAGGCAUUUAAUUAAGUUUAUAAGGUUUAAGAAAAUUUUCCAAACAUUUAAGAGUCUAUGUAAACACAUAAGAGCUGUAGUUUAAAGGUUUUGUCUGUCUUGGAGUACAACUAAAAUAAUUUAAAAUAGAGGAUAUUAAAAGGUAUUUCUAAUUUGAACAGUUUUUUUCUUCCCUAAUUUUUGCCUUUGGUUUAUCCUUGAUAUUGAAAAAUUUCACUUUUACAUUUUCCUAUUUGUUUUGAUUCUCUUAAUGUUGAUUCAGUCUCUGCCAGGAAAUGUCUUAUUAAAAGUAAAACAUUAGAUCAUAUGAUAGCUCUUUAAUCCUAAGACUGUUUUGAUUAUUAUAGGAGAGAAAGAUGUGUGUGGGCAGAAAGAGAGCAAGGGCUCUUGCUCUUACCAUUAAGGGUUUGAAAAACCUAUGCUUCCUUUAAAAUUAAAUUUGGUCAUAAAUGUUUGGAGUUUUUUGGGGUUUUUUGCUUUUUAGGGCUGCACCCAUGGCAUAUGGAAGUUCCCAGGCUAGGGGUCAAAUUGGAGCUGCAGCUCUGGCCUACACAACCACCACAGCAAUGCCAGAUCUGAGCCGGGCCUGUAACCUACACCACAGCUCAUCACAACCCUAGAUACUCUGGAUACUUGACUCCCUGAUCGAGGCCAGGGAUCGAACCCACAAUCGCAUGGUUCUUAGUUGGAUUCGUUAACUACUGAACCACGAUGGGAACUCCUUGAAAGGUUUUUUAAUUAUAAAUAGCUGCACCUUAUUGAAUACUUACUUGAGUUCCAGGUAUUGUAGUGAGUAAAUUCCAAACAUUUUUCAUUUAAUGCUUUAAAUAACUCUAUGAGGUAGGUUAUAUUAUUCCUGUUUUAUACUGAAGAAACUGAGGCUUAUAAAGGUUAAAUAACUUUCCCAGAAUCACACGGCUAGUAAGGGGAAGGGGUAGGAUUUAAACUCAUAUCUGUCCGAUGCCAGUGCAUGUUUUUAUUCACAGUAAACACUGCUUCCUUUGCAGUAGUCAAAAUUAUUCUGCUCCCUUACUACUUAUGUUAAUACUGAAAGCUGUUCAAUGCUCAGAAUUUUUUCUUCCAAGACUUUUUAAAUGAGAAAUCUCACACUUUGUUUAAUGCUUUUAUUGUUUGAAAGUGUAACAGUGGAGGUGCUGCUAUGUUAGUUGUAUCAGUAUUUCAAGAAAGAAAUAUUUGAAUACUUGCAGCUUUUCCACCUACAUAUAAAUCAUACAUGUAUGUUAAGAGUGUAGUCAGUGCCUUUUAUCUGCUAGUGAAUGUGCUGAAGACUUGUUGGGUUUCUAUAUUUUCCAGCUGGAAUUGGCCAGCUGUAGCGUAAGUUCUGUGAUAAGCAUGCUAUCUUAGGAAGAUAAUUCCUAACACUAGUACUUUGGUCCUUUUCUUAGGAUCAUCUAGAGUACAGACAACCUCCUGAGAUUUUCCUUUGGGGUUUAAUGAGGACUGAAUACAUGUUGUGAUGGGACAGGAGACCUUUCAGUUUCAUGGUGUUGCCAGAUGUGUCCAGUAAAACUGGCUGUUCAUGAACUUAAUUAAAAGUUCCCAGGAACUUAGAACUUUAGGUAGUUUUUGAAAGCAUCAUGACUCAAAGAAUCUUUAGUGUAUCUGUCUGAGGAAGGGACAGUUUUGACUUGAACUGGAAUAAAGCGAUUCUUGUGGUUAUGAUGACCAAAGUACAUUAUUUAAUUUAGUUUAUUUAUUUUUAUGGCCGCACCCAUGGCAUAUGGAAGUUCCUGGGUCAGAGACUAAAUCUGAGCCACAAGCUGUGACCUACGCUGCGGCUGCAGCAAUCUGGAUUUUUUAACCUACUGCGCUGGGCCAGGGAUCCAACCUGUGCAAAGUGCAGUGUUUUAAAGGAAUAUGGAAAAUGUUAUGUGAAAAGUUUUUUUUUUUUUUAAUGCUUCUAGCUUAAAGUUACUGAAAUUGGUUUCAUUUCUUAGACUAUAUUGUAAUGAGUCUCUGCUUUGUUUUUCUUUGUAAUCUUCAGCUUUGUUUACUGAAUUGUUCAGUAAUAUGGGAUUGGCCUGCUCCAGAGCCUUAGAAAUGACAGUUCUGGAGUUCCCGUCGUGGCUCAGUGGUUAGCGAAUCCAACUAGGAACUAUGAGGUUGCAGGUUCGAUCCCUGGCCUUGCUCAGUGGGUUAAGGAUCUGGCAUUGCUGUGAGCUGUGGUGUAGGUUGCAGACGCAGCUUGGAUCCCGCGUUGCUGUGGCCCUGGCAUAGGCCAGCGGCUACAACUCCAAUUCGACCCCUAGCCUGGGAACCUCCAUAUGCCGCAGGAGCGGCCCAAGAAAUGGCAAAAAGACAAAAAAAAAAAA
rnacentral:lncRNA from 1 species